rnacentral:lncRNA from 1 species
AGAGCUCGGCGGGGUGCGGCUAGUGGCGGAGCGCGCUGCGAGGGGAGGGCUUUCCACUGUCGCUGGCGUGAACUCGCGUGCCCGGUGGGUAUCAGGGAAGAACCCCCGCCCCGGACCCCCAGAUCUGCCAUGGCCGAGGUAGCGAUCGUCUCUGCGGCCACGAAGACUGUUUUAACUUGUACCACUUUCCCUUCCAUUUUUCCUGGGGUGCCUCUCACCCUGCAUCUGCGCGUUCAGCAAGCUGGAUUUCGGGAAUGCUCAGUUCAGAAGAGAAAAAAUUGCCGGGAAUCAAGUCCUUCUUUUUGUUAGUCGGUAGUCGAUUGAUGGGAAGUGUUCAAAAUCAUUCGAUGUGGUGACAAGGCUUCACCAGGUACUGCCUUCUAACGAGCUGGCCAUUUCCACAUGUCAGAUAGGACCAACUUGCCUUUUAACUACCCGUGUGAUACUUAAACACUGUUGCCGGUAUCACAGCUUUUCUUCAAAACAGGAUCUUGCUCUGUCACCCAGGCUGGAGUACAGUAGCACCAUCACUGCUCACUGUAGCCUCGACCUGCUGGGCUCAAGUGAUCCUCCCAUCUCAGCCUCCUGAGUAGGGGACUACACACAGGCACCACCAUGAUCCGGUAUCACCAGUCUGUGGGUACAAAAGGAGAGUAACAUGAACGAUUCAAAUUCCACUGGCUCUUGUUCCCAUGGAUUCACAGAAGUUCAGCCCCAUUUCAAAACUUCACAUUUGCUUCUGGGAAGCCCAUUCUGGAAAGUUUCUCUGUGGCCCUCUCCAGAAGGCAGCGCGACUUCCACCCAGCAACACAAGUCUCUGCAGCACCUGCCCCAGCAGCGCCAGCUGAGCCCCGGAAGCUGGGAAGGCUUAAGCUGACUCUUCUGCUGCACAUAGCAAAAAAUGGUCAUUUCUGUAGUUGCAGCUCCAGAUCUACAAUAAUCAAUCUAUAUCCAUAUUUUAUGGGGUUUUUUUGAGACAAAGUCUUGCUCUGUUACUCAGGCUGGAGUGCAGUGGCAUUAUCAUCAUUCACUUGUAGCCUUGACCUCCCUGGCUCAGGUGAUCCUGUCACCUCAGCCUUCCAAGUAGCUGAGACCACAGGCAUGCACCACUAAGCCUGGCUAAUUUUUCAAUUUUUAUUUUUCGUAGAGACAGGGUCUCCCUGGGUUGCCCAAACUGGUCUUGAAUUCCUGGGCUCAAGCAAUCCUCCUGUCCCGGCACCCCGAAGUGUUGGGACUACAGGCAUGAGCCACUGUGCACAGCCCUUUUUGUUUUUGUUUUUGUUUUUUUUUAAAGGUAAUUUCCCAGUGGAAUCCUCGAGAUUUCUUCACGUUUUUGGAAAAAUGAGUUACAUUUUAGAUUGUUUUCCUUUUUGGAAUUUAAUGGUAUACAUUAUAUUACAUAGCUAUGUUGAGCUCUAUUUCUAUUACACUAAAAAGUAGGCUAAUUGUCUUAACUUUCAUCAGUAAUGACAUUAAAUGUGUGAAGAUUAUACUUGGAAUAAAGCACUUGGAUUCAUUCAUUUCUUCAGUAAAUAUUUAUUGAGCACUAGUAUGUUCCAACGAGUGUCUGUCUACAUUCUGGGGACAAGUGAUAACUAAAUCCCUGUCCUCGUGGAGAGUUAACAAUCAACAAACUAACAAACAUUUAAUUUAUGUCAUCAACUCAUUUCCACAAAUAUAACAACAUCUUGACUUCAAGUUUCCUGAGUUUCUGGUCUAAAGAAUUGCUACCUUCAAGAGCUCAAAUCAUUUGUUGGGGAGAGAGGCCUGUGAUAUAUUUUCUCCUUUACAAUGAAAGUAGCUGUAAAAAGAGGAAGAGAAAUUCUGAGGGUAAAGAUAAAAAAUGUUGAAAUCUUCUUUCUGGAUUUCAGAUUGAGUCUCUUGCCCUAAUUGAUGCAAUUUACACUCCAUGCAUCUCCUUCCCUGGACCUUCUCCAGUUCUUGGGGACUACAGAUGAACUUACUUUUAAUGCAUUUUAUGGCAUUUGGAGGCCCUCCAGUGGACAAAUACUAUACCUGAAAAAAAUCCUUUUGCUGUGCUAAAGUGUUCAGGUGUGAAGUGUACUCAUGUUUGCAAAUCACUUUGAAAUAUAUAAACAAAAAUGAAUUAAUGGAUGAAUAGAGUGAUGCAUAGAUCAUUAGACAUGUGAUAAAAAUAACUGUUAAUUGUAGAAUCUAGAUGAUGAGUAUAUUAUAUGAUAUGGCCCACUGUAUAAUUCUUUCAACUUUUCUGUUUGAAUGUUUGAUAAUAAAAUAUUGAAUAAAAAUCUUUUUGCUAAAGAU